rnacentral:tRNA from 1 species
GCGGGCGUAGUUCAGUGGUAGAACUCUAGCCUUCCAAGCUAGUAGCGAGGGUUCGAUUCUCUCCGCCCGCUCCA